GACGAACGCUGGCGGCGUGCUUAACACAUGCGAGUCGAACGGAAAGGCCCUGCUUUUGUGGGGUGCUCGAGUGGCGAACGGGUGAGUAACACGUGAGUAACCUGCCCUUGACUUUGGGAUAACUUCAGGAAACUGGGGCUAAUACCGGAUAGGAGCUCCUGCUGCAUGGUGGGGGUUGGAAAGUUUCGGCGGUUGGGGAUGGACUCGCGGCUUAUCAGCUUGUUGGUGGGGUAGUGGCUUACCAAGGCUUUGACGGGUAGCCGGCCUGAGAGGGUGACCGGCCACAUUGGGACUGAGAUACGGCCCAGACUCCUACGGGAGGCAGCAGUGGGGAAUUUUGCACAAUGGGCGGAAGCCUGAUGCAGCAACGCCGCGUGCGGGAUGACGGCCUUCGGGUUGUAAACCGCUUUCGCCUGUGACGAAGCGUGAGUGACGGUAAUGGGUAAAGAAGCACCGGCUAACUACGUG
rnacentral:rRNA from 1 species